ensembl:lncRNA
UUUUAUUUUGAUCCGUCAGUGACAUCACAUGGCUGGACCGCUCUCCUCUGGCUCAACAAAGGUUUGAGUUUUAUCACGCUUAAGUAUUCAAGGAGCAAGAAACUGAGAACAUCUGAAAUCUGUGUGACAUACUAUUAUCAAGAUGGCAUUUAUUAAAGAGGAGAUCGAAGACGUGAGCAUUUCAGAAACAUUCAGAGUGAAAAAUGAAGAUGCAGAGGAUGACACAGGUUGGUUUAUUAGUUGCUGGUUUAUUUGUCAUUUGUUAUUGUUUUUUUAAAUGUUGGUCUUUAAACUAAUGAUAAAUUUGAAAAAAAAUGUUGCAAUCAUUUAAAUGAUCAUAAUGCCAAACAUUUAUUAAACAUAACACAGUUUAAUGUAAUUCAGCUUCAUUUCUGCAGCUACAUGUAAACAUAAGUUACUAAUGUUACAGGUUGUGUCUACUGUACACAGCUGGCUGAACUUUUGUUUUCUUUAGGGGAAUUUCUAGCAUGGGGGGUGACAGGAAAAUUACCAUAUAAUGUUUUAUGUUAAUACCCUUUAAAAAGGUAGUUCUUUAAAGGUUCUUUACAAAUAGUAAUAGUUCUAUUUAGAAACAUAUCAUCUUAGAGAACCAUUUUAUGCUGAAAUGGUUAAUUGUGUUUAGUAGAAAAAGAAAUCUGUAACUGUCAAAAAAAAAUUAUUUCAAAGCCACCUCAUUAUCGAUUUUCUGGAGUUCAGCCAUCCAGCUAAACAAGACUGUCAACAUACUCUCAGCAGGUACUUGAUAUCCUUUUCAAAAUGUCUUUAAAUGUUCAUUUUCAAAUUGUAACUUGCUUCAUCAUGCUGUGCUUUUUUCUUAGUUUUUUAACAGCACAUGUAAGUGUGUCAUGUUCUGUUCAGCUGAUGAUACUUCUCUUCUAUUCUCCACUACGCAGAUGCUGUCACACCCCACAGACUCAUCAUCUGCAAAGAUCAACUGCCACUCAUUUUUACAAAAAUACACAUAAUGAUGGAUGUGAACACAUCACAGGCAGCUGCAAAAAAUGUUUUAAUUGGAACUUUGCCUUUGUUUCUAUUUGUAUUUGUGUGUCUAUUUGUUCUAUUAUAUUUAAUUUACAUUCAAAUGUCGUGUAAUUUUUAUGCUUUCAUGUAAUGAUUUUUUAGAGCAUUGUCAUUUUUGCUAUAAUUUCCCAUGUCAAUAAAAAACAUAAUUUACAUAA